CAUUUAAAUAACACCUAUUGCCUUAGCAGGGCCAGACCAAAUGAUUUCUCGGACCUUCUGCGGCCCAAGGGCUGGAUGUUCCCCCACCCUGCUCU